UCACCAUGUUACACGGGUUUAUCUCAAACUCCUGAGCUCAAAGUGAUCCACCUUCCUCAGCCUCCCAAAGUGCUAGGAUUAUAGGUGUGAGCCAUCACACCUGACUUCAUGUUUGUAUUUUAAGAUGGCAUAAUAGGUGACUUACGGAUCCUUGUGGGAUUGAGUCAUGCUUUUCAUACUGCACAGUCAUGAAGUUUGCCCUUUGUUUAGUAGAUGUAGCUGAACUUUGAAAAGGGGACCUCGUCAUCUAUUGAAAACUAUUAGUAGAAAAGAAAAGAAACCUCUUUCCUUGUAGCUGGCUGCACACAAGGGCCCAGAUAGAAUCACCAGGAUGACCACUGCAAGGAGGGUUUAGAAACCAAUCAGUGAGUUGCAUGAGUUUGCUAUGAAGAUUAUGGAAUCAGAGAGAGCUCUUGGAGAUGGUACAGCUCUACCUCUUCAUUUUCUAUCUGAGGAAAAAGACUCAGAGAUACUUGAGAUACUAACUGACACCCCCAAAGCCACAAGCUAUUGAAAUGGAUGCAGUCAGAACUGAAUGUUGAAGAAGUGGUAAAUGACAGGAGCUGGAAGGACUGGGUCAUCUCAUAAGAGCUAAGCAUGACAGAUAUCAACAGGGCGGGCUUUCUAGGAUGAUUUCUGAGCCAACAGUCCAAGACCUUUUGUUGAUUUCAGCCCCACUUAGCCAAGACCUCAAGUAUAAAUAAUUCUGAUAAUUAUGGAGAAAUCAACUGCUAUUUUAUACUGAUUCUGUAAAAAAAAAAAAAAAAAA
rnacentral:lncRNA from 10 species